GGCAAAAAUGUGUGCUACACAAUGGAGAAGAGGUGGAAAACUUUUUUUUUUUCAAGGUAAUCCACUCGGGAUUCCAGAUGAAGAUUUUUUUCUCCGUGAGAGUGUUUGACUGGAAAGACAGGCUGUGGAGGCGCGCUUCAGACGACACACAGGCUGCAUCCGAAAUUCGUGUGUGUAACCUCUUCUCCAUCUGCCACACACAUCUCUACCUAGCACAGGCUGCUCUUCAUCUGCGUCUGAUGAUGACGACCACGCGCCACCUAGCUGAGGAUCAACCUCAGGCCAUGUUGUGUCACCGGCGGCUGACUUGUCUGGACUGGUCAAUACAAACCAAGGAAAAACGUCCUCUUUCCAAUGGCACUGGUCGCCCGUACGCGCGACUUUCUGCUUUCUGGAUGUAGCGCGGUAGCGCGAGGAGAGCAUGGAGGAGAGCCGUUACAGCCAGGCGGCGCCCUUGGAGCUUGGAAUUCCUCCAGCUCAUUUGGAAGGGAAAUCUUAGAAGCGUUCGGACGCAUGUCCAGAGAGCUCUCGUUCGGGAAGCGUCUUUCGUUGUAGUUUUGGUGGUUUUGGUGCCCCGCAGUGCUGUGACU